rnacentral:rRNA from 1 species
AUGCACGCUGGCGGCGUGCCUCAUCCAUGCCAGUCGCGCGAACAGACGAGGAGCUUGCUCCUCUGACGUUAGCGGCGGACGGGUGAGUAACACGUGGAUAACCUACCUAUAAGACUGGGAUAACUUCGGGAAACCGGAGCUAAUACCGGAUAAUAUAUUGAACCGCAUGGUUCAAUAGUGAAAGACGGUUUUGCUGUCACUUAUAGAUGGAUCCGCGCCGCAUUAGCUAGUUGGUAAGGUAACGGCUUACCAAGGCAACGAUGCGUAGCCGACCUGAGAGGGUAAUCGGCCACACUGGAACUGAGACACGGUCCAGACUCCUACGGGAGGCAGCAGUAGGGAAUCUUCCGCAAUGGGCGAAAGCCUGACGGAGCAACGCCGCGUGAGUGAUGAAGGUCUUCGGAUCGUAAAACUCUGUUAUUAGGGAAGAACAAAUGUGUAAGUAACUAUGCACGUCUUGACGGUACCUAAUCAGAAAGCCACGGCUAACUACGUG